rnacentral:rRNA from 1 species
GAUGAACGCUGGCGGCGUGCUUAACACAUGCAAGUCGAACGGAAAGGCCCUGCUUGCAGGGUACUCGAGUGGCGAACGGGUGAGUAACACGUGGGUGAUCUGCCCUGCACUUCGGGAUAAGCUUGGGAAACUGGGUCUAAUACCGGAUAGGACCGCACUUUAGUGUGUGUGGUGGAAAGUUUUUUCGGUGUAGGAUGAGCUCGCGGCCUAUCAGCUUGUUGGUGGGGUAAUGGCCUACCAAGGCGGCGACGGGUAGCCGGCCUGAGAGGGUGUACGGCCACAUUGGGACUGAGAUACGGCCCAGACUCCUACGGGAGGCAGCAGUGGGGAAUAUUGCACAAUGGGCGCAAGCCUGAUGCAGCGACGCCGCGUGGGGGAUGAAGGCCUUCGGGUUGUAAACUCCUUUCGCUAGGGACGAAGCUUUUUGUGACGGUACCUAGAUAAGAAGCACCGGCUAACUACGUG